GUCUUUUUGAGUUUAAUUUAAAGUCUAAUCUGCCCACUGAUAAUAUUUAAGGGCCGCAGUAUUCUGACUGUGCAAAGGUAGCAUAAUCAUUAGUCUUUUAAUUGAGGGCUUGUAUGAAUGAUUGGACGAGAUAUAAUCUGUCUCAUAAAAAUUUAAGUAGAAUUUUAUUUUUUAGUUAAAAAGCUAAAAUAAAUUUAAAAGACGAGAAGACCCUAUAGAUCUUUAUAAUUUAUUUAUUAAUUUUUUUAGGUUAUUUUUUAAUUUUAUAAAUUAAAUUAUUUUGUUGGGGUGACAGUGAAAUUUAUAAAACUUUCAUAAUUUUUUUUAACAUUGAUUUAUGAUAGAUUGAUCCAUUUUUAGUGAUUAAAAAUUUAAGUUACCUUAGGGAUAACAGCGUAAUUAUUUUGGAGAGUUCUUAUCGAUAAAAUAGUUUGCGACCUCGAUGUUGGAUUAAGAUUAAUUCUGGGUGUAGCAGUUCAGGUUAUUAAGUCUGUUCGACUUUUGAUUUCUU
rnacentral:rRNA from 1 species